rnacentral:lncRNA from 1 species
AUUUCUUUCAUAUUUUGCAGAGACAAAGUUUUGCCAUGUUGCCCAGGCUGGUUUCAAACUCCUGGGCUCAGUCUGCCCACUUCAGCCUCCCAAAGUGCUAGGAUUAUAAGCAUGAGCCACUGCAUGCAGCUGAAGCUAGAAAUUAAUAACAAAAAGAAGAAAAAUGCCCAAAUGCUUAGAAAUUAAGUAAUCCACUUUUUUUUUUUUUUUU